rnacentral:rRNA from 1 species
CAUGUAGGCGGUCUUGUAAGCUUGGCGUGAAAGACCACGGCUCAACCGUGGGAUUGCGUUGAGAACUGCGAGGCUUGAGUGACGGAAAGGGAGCUAGAAUUCCUGGUGUAGGGGUGGAAUCUGUAGAGAUCAGGAAGAAUACCAAUGGCGAAGGCAAGCUCCUGGCCGAUGACUGACGCUGAGGUGCGAAAGUGUGGGGAUCAAACA